rnacentral:tRNA from 1 species
AAAAGAGAUUUCAACUCCUGCCCCUAACUCCCAAAGCUAAGAUUCUAAUUAAACUAUUCU